AACGAACGCUGGCGGCAGGCCUAACACAUGCAAGUCGAGCGAGGACUUCGGUUCUAGCGGCGGACGGGUGAGUAACGCGUGGGAAUGUGCCCUUCUCUACGGAAUAGCCCUGGGAAACUGGGAGUAAUACCGUAUACGCCCUAUUGGGGAAAGAUUUAUCGGAGAAGGAUCAGCCCGCGUUGGAUUAGGUAGUUGGUGGGGUAAUGGCCUACCAAGCCGACGAUCCAUAGCUGGUUUGAGAGGAUGAUCAGCCACACUGGGACUGAGACACGGCCUAGACUCCUACGGGAGGCAGCAGUGGGGAAUCUUAGACAAUGGGGGCAACCCUGAUCUAGCCAUGCCGCGUGAGUGAUGAAGGCCUUAGGGUUGUAAAGCUCUUUCAGCUGGGAAGAUAAUGACGGUACCAGCAGAAGAAGCCCCGGCUAACUCCGUG
rnacentral:rRNA from 1 species